UACGUAGGGUGCAAGCGUUGUCCGGAAUUAUUGGGCGUAAAGAGCGUGUAGGCGGCUUGAUAAGUCUGCUGUGAAAGUCCAGGGCUCAACCCUGGAAAGCCGGUGGAUACUGUCAAGCUAGAGUCCGGAAGGGGCGAGUGGAAUUCCUGGUGUAGCGGUGAAAUGCGCAGAUAUCAGGAGGAACACCAAUGGCGAAGGCAGCUCGCUGGGACGUGACUGACGCUGAGACGCGAAAGCGUGGGGAGCAAACAGG
rnacentral:rRNA from 1 species